rnacentral:rRNA from 1 species
AGGACGAACGCUGGCGGCGUGCUUAACACAUGCAAGUCGAGCGGAAAGGCCCUUCGGGGUACUCGAGCGGCGAACGGGUGAGUAACACGUGAGCAACCUGCCCUUAGCUCUGGGAUAGCUCCGGGAAACCGGAAUUAAUACCGGAUAUGACCUAGGCCGACAUCGGCCGUGGUGGAAAGUUUUUCGGCUAGGGAUGGACUCGCGGCCUAUCAGCUAGUUGGUGGGGUAAUGGCCUACCAAGGCGACGACGGGUAGCCGGCCUGAGAGGGCGACCGGCCACACUGGGACUGAGACACGGCCCAGACUCCUACGGGAGGCAGCAGUGGGAAUCUUGCGCAAUGGGCGAAAGCCUGACGCAGCGACGCCGCGUGGGGGAUGAAGGCCUUCGGGUUGUAAACCCCUUCAGCAGGGACGAAGCGAAAGUGACGGUACCUGCAGAAGAAGCGCCGGCUAACUACGUGCCAGCAGCCGC